UACAGAGGGUGCAAGCGUUAAUCGGAAUUACUGGGCGUAAAGCGCACGUAGGUGGCUUGAUAAGUUGGAUGUGAAAUCCCCGAGCUUAACUUGGGAAUUGCAUUCAAGACUGUCUUGCUAGAGUGUGGAAGAGGGAAGUGGAAUUCCAGGUGUAGCGGUGAAAUGCGUAGAUAUCUGGAGGAACAUCAGUGGCGAAGGCGGCUUCCUGGUCCAACACUGACACUGAGGUGCGAAAGCGUGGGGAGCAAACAGG
rnacentral:rRNA from 1 species